rnacentral:rRNA from 1 species
UGGGGAAUAUUGCACAAUGGGGGAAACCCUGAUGCAGCGACGCCGCGUGAACGAAGAAGGUAUUCGUAUCGUAAAGUUCUGUCCUAUGGGAAGAUAAUGACAGUACCAUAGAAGAAAGCUCCGGCUAAAUACGUGCCAGCAGCCGCGGUAAUACGUAUGGAGCGAGCGUUGUCCGAAAUUAUUGGGCGUAAAGGGUACGCAGGCGGUUUAAUAAGUCGAAUGUUAAAGAUCGGGGCUCAACCCCGCAAAGCAUUGGAAACUGAUAAACUUGAGUAGUGGAGAGGAAAGUGGAAUUCCUAGUGUAGUGGUGAAAUACGUAGAUAUUAGGAGGAAUACCAGUAGCGAAGGCGACUUUCUGGACACAAACUGACGCUGAGGUACGAAAGCGUGGGGAGCAAACAGG